rnacentral:rRNA from 1 species
AGUAAUCUGCCUCUAAGAGGGGAAUAACAUUCUGAAAAGAAUGCUAAUACCGCAUAACAUAUAUUUAUCGCAUGGUAGAUAUAUCAAAGAUUUAUCGCUUAGAGAUGGACUCGCGUCCGAUUAGUUAGUUGGUGAGGUAACGGCUCACCAGGACUGCGAUCGGUAGCCGGACUGAGAGGUUGAACGGCCACAUUGGGACUGAGACACGGCCCAG